UACGGAGGGUGCGAGCGUUGUCCGGAAUCAUUGGGCGUAAAGAGCUCGUAGGCGGUCUGUCGCGUCGGCUGUGAAAACCCGGAGCUCAACUCCGGGCCUGCAGUCGAUACGGGCAGACUGGAGUUCGGCAGGGGGAGACUGGAAUUCCUGGUGUAGCGGUGAAAUGCGCAGAUAUCAGGAGGAACACCGGUGGCGAAGGCGGGUCUCUGG
rnacentral:rRNA from 1 species